GAUGAACGCUGGCGGCGUGCCUAAUACAUGCAAGUCGAGCGAACGGACGAGAAGCUUGCUUUUCUGAUGUUAGCGGCGGACGGGUGAGUAACACGUGGAUAACCUACCUAUAAGACUGGGAUAACUUCGGGAAACCGGAGCUAAUACCGGAUAAUAUUUUGAACCGCAUGGUUCAAAAGUGAAAGACGGUCUUGCUGUCACUUAUAGAUGGAUCCGCGCUGCAUUAGCUAGUUGGUAAGGUAACGGCUUACCAAGGCAACGAUGCAUAGCCGACCUGAGAGAGUGAUCGGCCACACUGGAACUGAGACACGGUCCAGACUCCUACGGGAGGCAGCAGUAGGGAAUGUGCCGCAAUGGGCGAAAGCCUGACGGAGCAACGCCGCGUGAGUGAUGAAGGUCUUCGGAGCGUAAAGCUCUGUUAUUAGGGAAGAACAUAUGUGUAAGUAACUGUGCACAGCUUGACGGUACCUAAUCAGAAAGCCACGGCUAACUACGUG
rnacentral:rRNA from 1 species